rnacentral:lncRNA from 1 species
UAUGAUCAGUUAGAAGCUGAUACUUAAAAGGUUAGGUUCUUUAUUCUUUAGCUAAAUAUGACUUUUUAAUUUUCUUACUUUGUUUACUAUUUCAAUUUUUAUUUAAAAGGUUAGUACCUCUACCUCGUCUUUAAAAAAUUCCAUGAUUGGGUCAGUAGCUAAUUUUUUAUUUUAUUAAGUUACAUGGUGAUGUUCCUUCAAAAGUCAUGUUGGGUUAUUUUACUUCUUUUGUUUGCUAAUUAGAAAUAGAAAAUUUAUAAACUCUAAUUUAUGAAAAUUGGCAUGCGCUUGAAGGUUGGAGCUCGAAUAACAUAAGGUUUGCUUCGGCACAAGUUAAGUUGAAAAACUUAUGAUCAGUUACAAGCUGAUACUUGAAAGGUUAAGUUCUUUAUUCUUUAGCUAAAUAUGACUUUUUAAUUUUCUUAUUUUGUUUACUAUUUCAAUAUGUAUUUCCAAGGUUAAUACCUCUGCCUCGUCUUUAAAUAAUUUCAUGAUAGGGUUAGUAGCUAAUUUUUAAUUUUAUUAAGUUGAAUGGUGGUG